rnacentral:lncRNA from 1 species
CUAACAACAAUCCUUUGGGCAAAACUGAAAGAACUGACUCGUGAUUCUUCUCAUCUACACGAAUUUGACGAUAGAGCAUCUAUUAGCUAAAUGGUGUCAUUCAACCAUACACGUUUCAACCAGAAUACCGUGAAGAGGAUUCGAAACAAAGAGUUGGAUCUAGCUAAAAUUCGAAGCUCAGCUAUAGCCGAUGCCAGCACCAACAGGGCAGGUGACAGAUACGAUAAUACCAUGGGCUUCUUCUUGGAGUGGAUUCUAGAUAUGGAAACAGAAUUAUUUUGCCUGCGCGUGUCAUUGCAGCAGAAGUGUAUCCCUUGAACUGUAUUGCUCUCAAAGGAAUUCGAAAUUAUGCUGGAUUUCAAGCAGCGAACUCAUGAGGACCUGAAUGGUAGUUUGAUCAUGACACCCCUCCCACAGCUUUACAAGUAUUCCCUGAACUUACUGUAUGUUUCUUUAGAAUGGAAAUCUCAUCACGAUCGCCUCUCCCAUCAACUGCUGAUCAUCAAUUCUCUUAGCUACAGAUUAUUACACCAUAUAAUGUGAUCUAACCAAAGAUGUUUGGUAUCCAUUACCGGGAGUUACAGGAUAGGUACUGUUUGUUGCUCCACAAAGAAUUUCCGACAAACCUUAGCGAUGCUGUCUCCUCGAUUUGGGGAAACAGGAAUCUCAUAAAAUGUCAGUGUCCAGUUGCAGUGUCAGUUUGAAUUUAGAAAAUGCACCGUUAUAAUUUUUUUGCUCCAUAAAGUAAUCCAACAAUAUGUGUGCCACCAUCAUGUCUAUUUCAAGUCUUCUCACUCAUUGAUUGAGACAGGUCUCUCAUCAUGACAUGCAGCACUUUAGGGUGGACACCCACCUGUCUCGAUCAAUGAGAGAAGACUUGAAAUAGACAAGAUGUGGGCAAAAAUCUUUGGGUAAAUCACAUUAUCUUUUGUAACAAUCUGUAACUACUGUUCUCUACACUUGUACAAUGUAUAAUGGUGCCGGAGGGGAUGGCUAACGCUUUAUGUGCACCUAACCAACUGCUCUAUUUUGUUCAUUUUUUGCGUUGUUUGUAACUUAUUUGUUAACUUAUUUUGUACAUAAUGUUGCUGCCACCGUCUUUUAUGACCGAAAAAAACUUCUGGACAUCAGAACAGCGAUUACUCACCUCGAACUGGAAGAAUCAUUUUUGUUUAAUGAGUUUGACGGGAAGGAUAUACAGCUUUCCCGGGAAGAGGCCCAAAUCCCCAUCAUUUGUGUGAAGAAAAGAUGGAAAAAAAGGGGGGCGGAGUUCGGGCUGCCUUCAGAGAAUUCGUAGGCAUGCGAGUAAACUCCUACUGUCAUCCGUGCAAUCAUUAGGAAAUAAAAUUGAUAAUAUAAAGCUGGCGGGAUUUUCCAUGCACCGGCAGAACAGAGAAGCUACGUCUGGUAAGACAAAGGGUGGGGGUGUGUGUCUAUUUGUCAAUAACAGCUGGUGCGCGAUGUCUAAUAUUAAAGAAGUUUUGAGGUAUUGCUCGCCUGAAGUAGAGUACCUUAUGAUAAGCUGUACACUAUCUACCAAGAGAGUUCUCAUCUAUAAUAUUCGUAGUUGUCUAUUUACCAUCACAGACCAAUGUUGGCACUAAGACCGCACUCAACCAACUCUAUAAGGCCAUAAGCAAACAAGAAAAUGCUCAUCCAGAAGCGACGCUCCUAGUGGCCGGGGACUUUAAUGUAGGCAAACUUAAAUCUGUUUUACCUCAUUUCUACCAGCAUGUCACAUGUGCAACCAGAGGGAAAAAAACCUCUAUACCACCUUUAUUCUAACACGGAGACGCAUACAAAGCUCUCCCCCGCCAUCCAUUUGGCAAAUCUCACCAUAAUUCUAUCCUCCUGAUUCAAAGCAGAAAGUACAAGUGACUCGUUCAAUACGGAAGUGGUCAGAUGACGCAAAUGCUAUGAUACAGGACUGUUUUGCUGGCACAGACUGGAAUAUGUUCCGGGAUUCAUCCAAUGGCAUUGAGGAGUAUACCACUUCAGUCAUUGGCUUCAUCGAUAAGUGCAUCGACGACGUCAUCCCCACAGUGACCGUAUGUACAUAUCCCAACCAGAAGCCAUGGAUUACAGGCAACAUCCGCAUCGAGCUAAAGGCUACAGCUGUCGCUUUCAAGGAGCAGGACACUAAUCCGUACGCUUAUAAGAAAUCCAGCUAUGCCCUCAGAUGAAUCAUCAAACAAGCAAAGCGUCAAUACAGGAUUAAGAUUUAAUCAUACUACACCAGCUCUAAUGCUUGUCGGAUGUGGCAGGGCUUGAAAACUAUUACUGACUACAAAGGGAAACCCAGAUGCGAGCUGCCCAGUGAUGUGAGCCUACCAGACGAGCUACAGUGGUUCUUCCUGUAAAAGUUGCGUCAUACUGGAGCACACCUAGCGGGGUGCCACAGAAUUCUAUGGCAUGUUGUUUAAUUGUCAGCCAUUGUUACCAUUAAUGCUAUUUAGUGAUAGUUUGACCACCAGAGGGCAUCUUUGAGAAGCAUUUGAUAGCCUUCAAAAUUUGGUAAGAACAUAGUAUAUGGGAUUGAUUUUAAGAAAUUAAUUUGAUUAAUAUUAUAGUGUUUCUAUUCCAAGAAAAACUAAACCCUCAGGGUUUCUGUUAGGAAAAUAUGGCGCUGUACAACGUGACGGCCGGGAGUAGACUACAGUACUAAGAGCAUAACAUUUCCACACCCUAAUUGUAUAUCUAAGGGGCUUUUAUAUAAUUCUAAAUGAAUUAAUAAUAAUAAUAAUUGCUUUGUUUAAAAAAAUAACAAUAUUUUGUAGAUAUUUUGUUUUCAAAUAACCUAAAGUGAGCGAGAAAAAGGCCAUUCUUGACCAUGGGGUGAGAUAUUCUUACUAAUUUGUAAAUAAAGCCAGUUUGUUAUUUAGAAUGAUUUAUUUCUGUUUUUAG